GUGCUCACUUUGGCAGCACAUAUGCUACAACUGGAACGAUACAGAGAUUAGCAUGGACUCUGUGCAAGGAUGACACGCAAAUUCAUGAAGCAUUCCAUAUAUAU
rnacentral:snRNA from 1 species